rnacentral:lncRNA from 1 species
CAGCGGCCGGGCCGGGACCCCUCCGGGGCGGGGAGAUAAGGAGGUUAGAGAAGAGGGGGGAGGUGAAAGGAGGGGGUUCACAGCCGGGAAGGUGAGAGACAGCGAUGCUCUCUCCUGUGGCCUGGAGCAAAAACCUUUGUCCCUCAGGGAGCUGGAAGAAGCUGUGAGCAUAGGAAGGUGACCCACAGGGGACCGGGAAUGCCAUGGGUUUAACUAACAGAUUCCCCCGGCUGAACCCCUGCGCUGGGCCGAAUUUAGCAGCAGAAGAGAUAACCAAGAGAUAAGGACUGAUACCCUGGGAGGACAGCGGGAGACGGGCAGGCGGCCGAGGAAAGGGAGAGAAGCCGGAGGC